AUACAAAUUCAUAAACUUACUCUUUUAAGGUUCAAAUAUUGAAGAACAUCUUGGCCUAUAUAUAGGGUUCAGGGGAUUAUUUGGAGAAUGCGCACUAGAGACCGCGUAUCCAUAUAUGUAACUCUAAGCUCUAAGGUUCUAGGGGUAGAGAGAACAAUUCUCUUUGUAACUUUUCCCCGUUUGAUAUUUAUCUGAAACUAAUUUUACCAAAUCUCUUUAGCAGUUUCUAGCUGCUGAUCGAAGUUUGCCCUGAUCUAGUUUGGCUUCUCCACGUCCUAGCUAGACCACACCUGCGAAUUUCAAUCCAUGUCUAAACGUUUUGAGCUCUUGGCUUUGUCGUUCAUUAUCAUUAUUGUAACAUCUCCCAUCGGAGCCAGACGCCUUCAAGUUGAAGCCAAUCCUCCGAUACCCAAAUUUCCACGACGUUAUUCGGGGAUGUUCUCCACACUGGGAUUGGUUUGCAAAUGUUGUGAUGGCGCAGGAGAAGGAUGCAGAAGUUCAUGGGAGGGGUCUUGCUCAGGGAAACUUCAUUGCGCUCCGUGGAAGCAUACUUGAUUCUUGAUGUAUACUUCAAACAUAAUCUGAAUUAUUCCCUGUAUUUAGCAGCUUCAGCUUAAAUAAAUUAUAGCAUGGUACUAGGAAAAAUCCUUGUCUUUGGACACUAGUCCUGAAUGGUAUCCUAUAUAUAUAUAUAUGGAGCUGUUAUGAUAUUUCUACAUAUGUUCUUCACGCACUAAAUAUGUUAGCCUCCUGGUGUAUUAUAAUUAACUUUCUCAGGAA